GUUCAUCUUCACUGAACCCUAACUACACUCAUGAGGACAUACUUACAGCAGCUGAGCACUGAUAAACAUCAAACAAGUACUAGGAAUGCCCUGUAUUUUUAAGCAGGAAGAGGUUACAGAGUUAAGCGUUUAACUCAUGGAUUAUGGGCUGAUCGUCCUUGUCCUCACAGGAGCACUGGUUGAUGUAACCUUUGCCCAAACUCGUCAGUACUACUUUGUGAAUGAGCUACUGAGCUGGAACGAUUCUCAGAACUACUGCAGAUCUUUCUUAACUGACCUGGCCACCAUAGAAAACACAGAUGACGUCGAUGCCAUACUCAGCACUGCAUCAGACUUCAC